CCAUAUACUCUUCUUAUGCUAUAUAAAUGUAUAUGGUAUGUUAUUAAUUUAUCAUCUAGCAUUAGGAAACUGAUCCAUGUUUUUAUGUCCACCAAAUUAGGAUAUUCUUGCUACAUAAUUUUGGGGUUUUAAUAUACUUCCUCCUCUUUUUGCCUCUCUUUCUUGUGCUGUUUUUGUUUGUUUUCCCAAUUUAUGUUACUUUUACCAAAAACUCUAUAUACCAACUUAGUAAGAGAGGGAAUACUUUUUCGGUGACAUGGUAAUAGAUCUUUAUGCCCUUUAUUCAUUUAUUAUGUUUUAAGUCUCCACUGGCAAUUGGUGAAAACUUUCUAAGUGAAUGCAUUGACAUAUUUCAUCUGAAGGUCUACUUCUGAGGAUGCUUCAGCGUUCCUUUCCUUGAUGAAGAGUGGAACUCUUGAUGUAUUAUUGUCACAGGGAAAGGAGUAUGUGCAUGUGAUUAGCUCAGAUAACUCUGCUGCUGCCAUUGAUCCUA
rnacentral:misc_RNA from 1 species